rnacentral:rRNA from 1 species
UACGUAGGGUGCGAGCGUUAAUCGGAAUUACUGGGCGUAAAGCGUGCGCAGGCGGUUUUGUAAGCCAGAUGUGAAAGCCCCGGGCUCAACCUGGGAAUGGCAUUUGGGACUGCAAGGCUUGAGUGCGGCAGAGGAGACUAGAAUUCCUGGUGUAGCAGUGAAAUGCGUAGAUAUCAGGAGGAAUACCGAUGGCGAAGGCGGCAUCCUGGACCAAUUCUGACACUGAGGAGCGAAAGCCAGGGGAGCAAACGGG